CAGAAAGCCGUAGAGAUACGGCCCCCCUUGUGGUUGGUGUACAGGUGGUGCAUGGCUGUCGUCAGCUCGUGUCGUGAGAUGUUGGGUUAAGUCCCGCAACGAGCGCAACCCUUGUCCUGUAUUGCCAGCGGGUUAUGCCGGGGACUUGCAGGAGACUGCCGGGGUCAACUCGGAGGAAGGUGGGGAUGACGUCAAGUCAUCAUGCCCCUUAUGUCCAGGGCUUCACACAUGCUACAAUGGCGCGUACAGAGGGCUGCGAGACCGUGAGGUGGAGCGAAUCCCUUAAAGCGCGUCUCAGUUCGGAUUGGGGUCUGCAACUCGACCCCAUGAAGUCGGAGUCGCUAGUAAUCGCAGAUCAGCAACGCUGCGGUGAAUACGUUCCCGGGCCUUGUACACACCGCCCGUCACGUCAUGAAAGUCGGUAACACC
rnacentral:rRNA from 1 species